ACCCUGGGGUGUACGUCAGCAAAUUAACGUCCCCGAGCCGAUAAGCAAAUACCCAGGAUACGCUUUAGUUAACUAUUGAGCAGGCUCAGCCCGACUGAGAAGCCUACGGUUAAUGUUGCCUAUCCACCUUGAACUUCUGGUUCAAGGGCCUAAAUUUGUAACGGCACCUUGGGGAU
rnacentral:other from 1 species